rnacentral:rRNA from 1 species
AUGAAGCGAGAAGUCGACGCGCCGAACUCUCGGCGUCCGGCCCUCCGCAAGCGCCCACGGGAGUUUGGGUUCCGGACCUGGUCCGAUCCCGUUCCCUCCGUGGGGCUGUUUGCGAUCAGGAGGUGUCCUCGGACGGCGUCGUUUGUCUCCAGUCCGCGACGCUACGGCUUGGAUGGCCUACCCGACCCGUCUUGAAACACGGACCAAGGAGUCUAACAUGCGCGCGAGUCGUUGGGUCGGACGCGCUCCGCUAAACCCAUAGGCGCAAUGAAAGUGAAGGCCCCUCUUGGGUGCCGAGGGAGGACGGAGCCGCUCCCCUUCGUGGGACGGUUCCCGCACUCCCGGGGCGUCUAAUUCCUCAUUGCGAGGGAAGGCGCACCCAGAGCGCACACGUUGGGACCCGAAAGAUGGUGAACUAUGCCUGGCCAGGACGAAGUCAGGGGAAACCCUGAUGGAGGUCCGUAGCGAUUCUGACGUGCAAAUCGAUCGUCGGAGCUGGGGAUAGGGGCGAAAGACUAAUCGAACCAUCUAGUAGCUGGUUCCCUCCGAAGUUUCCCUCAGGAUAGCUUGCGCUCGGAGGAGAGUCUCAUCCGGUAAAGCGAAUGAUUAGAGGCCUUGGGGCCGAAACGGCUUCAACCUAUUCUCAAACUUUAAAUGGGUGAGAACUCCGGCUUGCUCGAUCAAUUUAAUGAAGCCGGAGUCGGGGCCACGAGCCCUCAGGAUCGGAGUGCAUAGUGGGCCACUUUUGGUAAGCAGAACUGGCGCUGUGGGAUGAACCAAACGACGGGUUAAGGCGCCCGAAUCGACGCUCAUGGGAAACCAUGAAAGGUGUUGGUUGCUUAAGACAGCAGGACGGUGGCCAUGGAAGUCGGAAUCCGCUAAGGAGUGUGUAACAACUCACCUGCCGAAGCAACUAGCCCUGAAAAUGGAUGGCGCUGAAGCGUCGUGCCUAUACCCGGCCGUCGCCGCAGGGCGGGCCCCGUGAGGGGUGCCGCUUGACGCGGCGACGAGUAGGAGGGUCGCGGCGGCGUGCGCAGAAGGGUCUGGGCUCGAGCCUACCUGGAGCCGCCGCCGGUGCAGAUCUUGGUGGUAGUAGCAAAUACUCCAGCGAGGCCCUGGAGGACUGAUGUGGAGAAGGGUUUCGUGUGAACAGCCGUUGCACACGAGUCAGUCGAUCCUAAGCCCUAGGAGAAAUCCGAUACUAACGGCGAUGGGACGAAAGAAAGACGGAAAACAGCCCAUUGAUCGGGCGAAAGGGAAUCCGGUUCCUAUUCCGGAACCCGGCAGCGGAACCGCUGUUUGUCGGGCCCUCACAAGGGGUUCGUCAGGGUAACCUAAAAGGGCCCGGAGACGCCGUCGGGAGCCCCGGAAAGAGUUUUCUUUUCUGCAUGAGCGUUCGAGUUCCCUG